UACGUAGGGGGCUAGCGUUGUCCGGAAUCAUUGGGCGUAAAGCGCGUGUAGGCGGCCCGAUAAGUCCGCUGUGAAAGUCCAGGGCUCAACCCUGGGAUGCCGGUGGAUACUGUCGGGCUCGAGUCCGGAAGAGGCGAGUGGAAUUCCUGGUGUAGCGGUGAAAUGCGCAGAUAUCAGGAGGAACACCAAUGGCGAAGGCAGAUCUCUGGGCCGUAACUGACGCUGAGGAGCGAAAGCAUGGGGAGCGAACAGG
rnacentral:rRNA from 1 species